GGUGGGCUAGCUCAGUGGUUAGAGCUUAGGCCUUGAGGCCGGAAGUGCUGGGUUCGAAUCUCGCCAGUGGCAGCG
rnacentral:tRNA from 1 species